rnacentral:sRNA from 1 species
AUAAAUCCCGGGAUAACCGGGUAAAAGGGCGAGUGAGGCUGAUGCGCUUGCCCCCUAUCAAACCGUUCAGUUCGGUCAAUUGGUGUGUGUUUAAAUUUGCCCUGGUAAAUUAAGAUAUGCAUUUUGAUUGGAGGAAACCGAGUGGGGAGAAGGCAAAGUUCACCUUGCAGUCCACCGGAGUUCGCGCUCUGGUGAACGCGAAUUAGACUUCAAGGGGGCCAGGGGUGCUGAGUUACGAUAGGUAACUUGUAAGAAGAUGCCCCGAGCUUGAUUGAUUGAAACUGAAGCAUUUUGCUUACUCUAUUGAGUAUUUUAUGACUGCCUCAAUUAAGAUUAAUCCAUCCAAUUCUUACGCGAAUUGGGUAGAGUUAGAUGUUUAGGCCUGCUUCGGGCCUAAUCGGAACACAGUUGCCAAAUAGGUAGUGAUUACCUACUGGGAGAUCAGCACGGCAGAAACCAAAAAUUGGUCAGAAAUGGCCAGCCGGAUGAAAUCCUCCGAAAGGAGAACAAAAACCGGGGUUUGUGUCGGGAUAGCCACGAGCCAAAGACGAAAGCCGUGAAAACUAUCUGUAACCGUGGCGAUGAAGCAAAAACUUUAGCGCUGCAAAGUAAAUGAAAUGGUAAUCUGAGGGGUAAGAGGCGAGACCCGUGGCAGAGGCAAACGCGUCGUCAAAAACGAUGGCUGACCUGUUGUCAAAGGGCUAGGACAUGAUUAGUUACUUGCUUGUCCCAGCUUGGUCCGCGAGUCAAUGGCCGCAACCAUUGGCUGUGUGGGCAAAUAAACCUCACCCAAUAAUCCAUGUGUUUAAAAAAGCAUUGGACGGCCCUGCUAUGAGGCCGACAACUCCGCAAGUCACGGAGAAUAGCGUCGGGGAGCGAUCGACCUUAAAAAUUGGUGCCAAAUGAUCGCAAUGGGAAAGAGCGCGUGGCGAGCGCC